rnacentral:rRNA from 1 species
AUACGGAGGGGACAAGCGUUAUUCGGAAUCACUGGGCGUAAAGGACGCGUAGGCGGGUUAUUAAGUCGGGUGUGAAAUCCAAUGGCUCAACCAUUGAACUGCAUUCGAAACUGAUAACCUAGAGUAUGGAAGGGGCAGGUGGAAUUAGUGGUGUAGGGGUAAAAUCCGUAGAUAUCACUAGGAAUACCGAAAGCGAAGGCGACCUGCUGGGACAUUACUGACGCUGAGGCGUGAAAGCGUGGGGAGCAAGCAGGAUUAGAAACCCCAGUAGUCC